rnacentral:rRNA from 1 species
CCUACGGGGGCAGCAGUGGGGAAUAUUGGACAAUGGGCGAAAGCCUGAUCCAGCCAUGCCGCGUGUGUGAAGAAGGCCUUCGGGUUGUAAAGCACUUUCAGUGGGGAAGAAAGCCUUGGGGCUAAUACCCUCGAGGAAGGACAUCACCCACAGAAGAAGCACCGGCUAACUCCGUGCCAGCAGCCGCGGUAAUACGGAGGGUGCGAGCGUUAAUCGGAAUUACUGGGCGUAAAGCGCGCGUAGGCGGUCUGAUAAGCCGGUUGUGAAAGCCCCGGGCUCAACCUGGGAACGGCAUCCGGAACUGUCAGGCUAGAGUGCAGGAGAGGAAGGUAGAAUUCCCGGUGUAGCGGUGAAAUGCGUAGAGAUCGGGAGGAAUACCAGUGGCGAAGGCGGCCUUCUGGACUGACACUGACGCUGAGGUGCGAAAGCGUGGGUAGCAAACAGGAUUAGAUACCCUAGUAGUC